UGGGGCUCACAACAAUACAGGCAGCCACUCCAAUUUGCCAGGACAUUGAGAUGAAUUCAUGCAGAGGAGAACCUGAGUCCUUGAUUGGCUUCUCAAACAAAGCAGUGUCUGCUGCAAGAAAACUUUCUCGUCUUUGAGAAACUAACGAACCGUGUUUAUGAUCUACAAAUGUGUACUGAGUAGUAAAGCAAUAUUCACUGACCUGCUGGAGCACUGGCUCUUCACCUUAUGCUAUAUUACUACCCAAAGUGAGCAAAACAAAUUAGAAUAAUUAUUUGAGAGAGAGGCAUGUGAUGCUUCCAAGUAUAAUUGUCUCCAACCAAUUGAUAAGGUGUGAAUACAUUAACAUCUAAUUAUAGUAGAUUAGAAAGGGACUGCAGUUUAAGUCCCUGAACAGCCUUCUACAUCUGGAAUUGUUACAUCCACUUUCUAGCAAACUUUAACAGAAAAUAUUGUUGCCCUUCAUAGUUAUUAGCUGUAGAAUUUGGUUCUUGAUUGUGUUGGCUUCUGUUAGAAAUUUGGAGGAGCUAAUGACAUCUUUCUUCUUUAUCUGAACACAUUGGGAAACAACCAAGGAGGCAAAUGGGAAUCAAAUAUGUUGCUAGUUUUAUCAAUGGAUUCCUGAUAGCUCUCAAAGCAUAGGGCUCUCUGGUAACAUUAAAUUAAAGAAAGUAUCAGGGCUGACUACCUCUUUCCUCCAACUAAACUUUUCUAAUGAAGCUGGAGAAAGUAGAAUACUCCUGAAGAGAGAGACCUUUCCCUGGUGAGUUUAUUACAUGAAGACAAGAAACACAGUAAAGUGUUAGCAAACCAUGAAGAUCAAGCAACUGGCCCCUUUGUUAUUUCAGUGCAAUGACCCCAUUUCCUGGUUAACAUUGUCCAGUGGAAAGCGAUAUUUUACCUCCCUGCUCUAUGAGAAAAAUUGAGUAGUGUGACAAAGAGAAGAACCAGAUCUGCACCUCCCCACCAGACUCCUUCUUGUGGAAGACAGGACAACACUCUAG
rnacentral:lncRNA from 1 species